rnacentral:rRNA from 1 species
AUUGAACGCUGGCGGCAGGCCUAACACAUGCAAGUCGAACGAGUGGCGGACGGGUGAGUAAUGUCUGGGAAACUGCCUGAUGGAGGGGGAUAACUACUGGAAACGGUAGCUAAUACCGCAUACCAUCGGAUGUGCCCAGAUGGGAUUAGCUAGUGGGUGGGGGAAAGGCUCACCUAGGCGACGAUCCCUAGCUGGUCUGAGAGGAUGACCAGCCAAACUGGAACUGGAAACAGGUCCAGAAUCCGACGGGGGGCAGCAGUGGGGAAUAUUGCAGAAUGGGCGGAAGGCUGGAGCAGGCAUGCCGCGUGGAGGAAGGAGGCCUUCGGGUUGGAAAGUACUUGCAGCGGGGAGGAGGGACCCGAAGAAGAAGCACCGGCUAACUCCGUGCCAGCAGCCGCGGUAAUUA